UUAAAAAUAAGCUAAAAUUAAGCUUUUGGGCUCAUACCUCAAAUAUAAAGAAAUCUCUUUUUUUUAAA
rnacentral:tRNA from 1 species